UAACAGUUUUUUUUUAAGACAAACCAUCUCUCGUUUGUCAUUGAUUAGUCAAUUAUGAGUAUGAUCAGGUGUGUUUAAUUAUGGUUAAAGCUAAACUGCAGGAAGUGAGUUAGCAUCGCUGGUUUAAAUGCUGUCAAACUGCGACAUGUCACACUUGUUUUUGCUGAUAUUCCAAAUAUGGAGUCUUUGACUUUGGUUCUCAUAAUUUCCACCUUUGUCUUUCUAAGUAAUUCCUGUUUUUUCGAACCUCUACAACCAGGAGCUACUAACUGUACAGAUAGCGCAGAUAAUUCCACUCAUCAAUUUGAAACCAGUUGGAAAAGCGACAAAUGCAUCGAAUGUUAUUGCUCUGACGCUGGGAUGGCAUGCUGUGAAACGAUGGCUACAGUGAUAAACCAAACUGAAGGCUGCAUUGUGGAUUAUGAUUACAGCUCAUGCACAUUUAAUGUGUACAAGCCGAAUGAACCCAGCUUCGACUGUGCCUAUAGUGUUGUUGCAAAAUGAACGACUGAGAACAUGUUCUUUCUGUACUUGAUUUUGCAAGAUUAAAGUCAUUACGCAUUGUU